rnacentral:rRNA from 1 species
ACGUUGCUCGGAAUCAUUGGGCGUAACGCGCACGUAGGCGGCCAACUAAGUCGGAUGUGAAAUCCCCAGGCUUAACCUGGGAACUGCAUCCGAUACUGGAUGGCUUGAAUCCGGGAGAGGGAUGCGGAAUUCCAGGUGUAGCGGUGAAAUGCGUAGAUAUCUGGAGGAACACCGGUGGCGAAGGCGGCAUCCUGGACCGGCAUUGACGCUGAGGAGCGAAAGCCAGGGGAGCAAACGGG